rnacentral:rRNA from 1 species
UGGGGAAUAUUGGACAAUGGGGGCAACCCUGAUCCAGCAAUGCCGCGUGUGUGAAGAAGGCCUGCGGGUUGUAAAGCACUUUCAGUAGAGAAGAAAAGCCCUGGGUUAAUACCCCGGGGUCUUGACGUAACCUACAGAAGAAGCACCGGCUAACUCCGUGCCAGCAGCCGCGGUAAUACGGAGGGUGCGAGCGUUAAUCGGAAUUACUGGGCGUAAAGCGCGCGUAGGCGGCUAGGUCAGUCGGAUGUGAAAGCCCCGGGCUUAACUUGGGAAUUGCAUUCGAUACUGCCUGGCUAGAGUAUGGGAGAGGGAAGCGGAAUUUCCGGUGUAGCGGUGAAAUGCGUAGAUAUCGGAAGGAACACCAGUGGCGAAGGCGGCUUCCUGGCCCAAUACUGACGCUCAGGUGCGAAAGCGUGGGUAGCGAACAGGAUUAGAUACCCGCGUAGUCC